UUUCCGUAGGUGAACCUGCGGAAGGAUCAUUCAUAAUAAAGUGUUUUAUGGCACUUUUUAAAAAUUCAUAUCCACCUUGUGUGCAAUGUUAGAUCUCGUCAAUCUUGGCGAGAUUUUUAUACAUCAACUCAUUUUUUAACUAAUUUGUCUGAAAAAUAUUAUGAAUACUUAAUUCAAAAUACAACUUUCAACAACGGAUCUCUUGGCUCUC
rnacentral:misc_RNA from 1 species